rfam:Scytonema hofmannii PCC 7110 genomic scaffold Scaffold1, whole genome shotgun sequence.
CAACUUCAAUUUGUUGGGGACAAAUAAAAUGAAUGUGGGUGUCGAUUCCACCAGCCGUGAGAAUCAUACCUUCCCCAGCCAGUGCUUCAGUUCCAGGACCAAUAAUAAUAUCUACAUUAUCUUGAAUAUAAGGAUUUCCUGCUUUACCAAUUUUGAAUAUUUUGCCAUCUUUAAUGCCGAUAUCUGCCUUGACAAUUCCCCACCAAUCAAGAAUCAAAGCAUUCGUAAUCACUAAAUCGACUGCACCAUCAGCGUUAGAAAUUGGUGAUUGUCCCAUCCCAUCACGG